AUUGAACGCUGGCGGCAUGCUUUACACAUGCAAGUCGAACGGCAGCGCGGGCUUCGGCCUGGCGGCGAGUGGCGAACGGGUGAGUAAUAUAUCGGAACGUACCCUAGAGUGGGGGAUAACCAGUCGAAAGAUUGGCUAAUAACGCAUCCGAUCUCGGGAUGAAAGUGGGGGACCGCAAGGCCUCCUGCUCCUAGAGCGGCCGAUAUCUGAUUAGCUAGUUGGUGGGGUAAAGGCCCACCAAGGCGACGAUCAGUAGCUGGUCUGAGAGGACGAUCAGCCACACUGGGACUGAGACACGGCCCAGACUCCUACGGGAGGCAGCAGUGGGGAAUUUUGGACAAUGGGGGCAACCCUGAUCCAGCAAUGCCGCGUGAGUGAAGAAGGCCUUCGGGUUGUAAAGCUCUUUUGUCAGGGAAGAAAAGGCCUGGGCUAAUAUCCUGGGUUCAUGACGGUACCUGAAGAAUAAGCACCGGCUAACUACGUGCCAGCCGCCGCAGUAAUAC
rnacentral:rRNA from 1 species